AUUAAAUAUGGAAAAAGAUUAAAUCUUAUUUUAACACUGCUGCUUGUUACUCAACAUUUUCACCCAGUACGGGCUACAAACAGUCAAACUGAAAAAACCCUUCUGUCCACGCUUGCUGUUACAAGUGCAGGUGCACUUUAUGCAUUUGAAAGGCUUUCACCGUGGUCAGCAAGUCUUAUAGCAGCCCUGGCGAUUUAUGCAGCAUUACCACGGAAAAGCAGCCCCACCCCCACGACAACCCCCACCCCCACGACUCCGGGUCACGGAGGGAAUGGAAAUGGCGUCUGGUGACUGUUGGGUUUUUAAAGUUUUGACAAAUAAAGGCAGUAAAAUGUGU